rnacentral:lncRNA from 1 species
GAAACAUCUCCCACUCCAGCUCCAGUUUCUUAUUUUUCUUUUCAAUGGAAGAUUAUGGAGCCCAUUGUCUCUGUCUCUGUAAUGUGUUCUUUGGGCCAAGCCAGAUUGUAUCCCUUGUCUGAAAAAGGUCAUAAACUUGAGUACUUGACCCAUGCAAAGCUCUAGAUUUUGCAGUGCUUUGCUUCUAUUCGCAGUAAGGUUUUGCCACUGAAAAUUUCCGUGCUCAGAUAGUCGGAUGCCAAGUGCGGCCAUUAUGGAGCCCAUAAAAAGGAGUUCCAGUAUAUCAUUACCAUAGCAUCUCCACUCUGGCAAGACAGUUCAUGUGUGCAAUUCCUCCCAUUCUCCAAUUUUCAUAGACCACUCUUGAAAUUUAUGCAGUUCCGUGGGCACAUCUGUUUCAGAGCCAUUAGAGCAGAAUUGGCACAAGGUAAUCAAUCAAUAGGUCCCUUUCGUUUGGUUUCUGUGAAAUAUUCUUCCAGUGAUCGAUCACAUCUCAUGAUGAAGUUCUUAAACUUUCAUUCUGUCAGUCCCUAUAUAUACAUACAUCAUGAUGAUGGUUAAACUUCAAUUUGGAGUAAUAAUACUUAUGUUACGUUACCUCAAUAGGCUUUUUUUCAUCGGAGUGGAGGAAGAAUGCGUAGAACCCUCCAAGCACAGUUGCUGCGGCCAUGGCCCAAACCAGCACCUGAACCGGGAAAGGCAUGAUGGCCGCCACUUUAUAUGAAAACACGGCGGUGAGCAUCGUCGUCAGGAGCC